UACGUAGGGGGCAAGCGUUGUCCGGAUUUAUUGGGCGUAAAGAGCGUGUAGGCGGCUUUACAGGUCCGUUGUGAAAACUCGAGGCUCAACCUCGAGACGCCGGUGGAAACCGUAAGGCUAGAGUCCGGAAGAGGAGAGUGGAAUUCCUGGUGUAGCGGUGAAAUGCGCAGAUAUCAGGAGGAACACCCGUGGCGAAAGCGGCUCUCUGGGACGGUACUGACGGCUGAGACGCGAAAGCGUGGGGGAGCAAAACAGG
rnacentral:rRNA from 1 species